rnacentral:rRNA from 1 species
GACGAACGCUGGCGGCGUGCUUAACACAUGCAAGUCGAACGGUAAGGCCCUUCGGGGUACACGAGUGGCGAACGGGUGAGUAACACGUGGGUGAUCUGCCCUGCACUUCGGGAUAAGCCUGGGAAACUGGGUCUAAUACCGGAUAGGACACCUGCCUGCAUGGGUGGAGGUGGAAAGCUUUUGCGGUGUGGGAUGGGCCCGCGGCCUAUCAGCUUGUUGGUGGGGUGAUGGCCUACCAAGGCGACGACGGGUAGCCGGCCUGAGAGGGUGACCGGCCACACUGGGACUGAGAUACGGCCCAGACUCCUACGGGAGGCAGCAGUGGGGAAUAUUGCACAAUGGGCGCAAGCCUGAUGCAGCGACGCCGCGUGAGGGAUGACGGCCUUCGGGUUGUAAACCUCUUUCAGCACCGACGAAGCGCAAGUGACGGUAGGUGCAGAAGAAGGACCGGCCAACUACGUGCCAGCCGCCGCCGUAA